rnacentral:rRNA from 1 species
UACGUAGGUGGCAAGCGUUAUCCGGAAUUAUUGGGCGUAAAGAGCGCGCAGGCGGUCCUUUAAGUCUGAUGUGAAAUCACGUGGCUCAACCACGUGCGGUCAUUGGAAACUGGAGGACUUGAGUGCAGAAGAGGAAAGUGGAAUUCCAAGUGUAGCGGUGAAAUGCGUAGAGAUUUGGAGGAACACCAGUGGCGAAGGCGACUUUCUGGUCUGUAACUGACGCUGAGGCGCGAAAGCGUGGGGAGCAAACAGGAUUAGAUA